rnacentral:rRNA from 1 species
GAUGAACGCUAGCGGGAGGCCUAAUACAUGCAAGUCGAGCGGUAGAGUGACUUCGGUUACUUGAGAGCGGCGGACGGGUGAGUAACGCGUACACAAUCUACCUUUAAGAGGGGAAUAGCCCUGGGAAACUGGGAUUAAUGCCCCAUGGCAUCACGAGACGGCAUCGUUUUGUUGAUUAAAGCUGAGGUGCUUAGAGAUGAGUGUGCGUCUGAUUAGCUAGUUGGUGCGGUAACGGCGCACCAAGGCGACGAUCAGUAGGGGGCGGUGAGAGCGUGGACCCCCACCACGGGUACGUGAGACACGGACCCGACUCCUACGGGAGGCAGCAGUAAGGAAUAUUGGUCAAUAGGAGGGAAACUACUGAACC